CUUCACCGACCCCAGCCACAACGGCCGUCCCUCAGCCCGCUGUUGGCCAUAUGUGGCCAGCAGGGCCUGGGCCUC
rnacentral:antisense_RNA from 1 species